rnacentral:rRNA from 1 species
UACAGAGGUCUCAAGCGUUGUUCGGAUUCAUUGGGCGUAAAGGGUGUGUAGGUGGCGCGUCAAGUCGGGUGUGAAAUUUCGGAGCUUAACUCCGAAACUGCAUUCGAUACUGGCGUGCUUGAGGACUGGAGAGGAGACUGGAAUUCAUGGUGUAGUAGUGAAAUGCGUAGAGAUCAUGAGGAAGACCAGUGGCGAAGGCGGGUCUCUGGACAGUUCCUGACACUGAGACACGAAGGCCAGGGGAGCAAACGGG